rnacentral:rRNA from 1 species
CCUACGGGGGGCUGCAGUGAGGAAUAUUGGUCAAUGGACGAGAGUCUGAACCAGCCAAGUAGCGUGAAGGAUGACUGCCCUAUGGGUUGUAAACUUCUUUUAUAUGGGAAUAAAAUGUUCCACGUGUGGGCUUUUGUAUGUACCAUAUGAAUAAGGAUCGGCUAACUCCGUGCCAGCAGCCGCGGUAAUACGGAGGAUCCGAGCGUUAUCCGGAUUUAUUGGGUUUAAGGGGAGCGUAGGUGGAUUGUUAAGUCAGUUGUGAAAGUUUGCGGCUCAACCGGAAAAUUGCAGUUGAAACUGGCAGUCUUGAGUACAGUAGAGGUGGGCGGAAUUCGUGGUGUAGCGGUGAAAUGCGUAGAUAUCACGAAGAACUCCGAUUGCGAAGGCAGCUCACUGGACUGCAACUGACACUGAGGCUCGAAAGUGUGGGUAUCAAACAGGAUUAGAUACCCUUGUAGUC